UAACAGGUUGAUAUUCCUGUACCACCUAUAAUCGUUUUAAUCGAUGGGGGGACGCAGUAGGAUAUGCGAAGCGUGCGAUUGGAUUGCACGUCUAAGCAGUAAGGCUGAGUAUAAGGCAAAUCCGGUACUCGUUAAGGCUGAGCUGUGAUGGGGAGAAGACAUUGUGUCUUCGAGUCGUAGAUUUCACACUGCCGAGAAAAGCCUCUAGAUAGUAAAUAGGUGCCCGUACCGCAAACCGACACAGGUAGUCA
rnacentral:rRNA from 1 species